AGUAACGGCGAGUGAAGCGGCAACAGCUCAAAUUUGAAAUCUGGCCCUAGGCCCGAGUUGUAAUUUGUAGAGGAUGCUUUUGGCGACGUGCCUUCCGAGUUCCCUGGAACGGGACGCCAUAGAGGGUGAGAGCCCCGUACGGUCGUGCACCUAGCCUUUGUAAAGCUCCUUCGACGAGUCGAGUAGUUUGGGAAUGCUGCUCUAAAUGGGAGGUAUACGUCUUCUAAAGCUAAAUACCGGCCAGAGACCGAUAGCGCACAAGUAGAGUGAUCGAAAGAUGAAAAGCACUUUGAAAAGAGGGUUAAAUAGUACGUGAAAUUGCUAAAAGGGAAGCACUUAUGACCAGACUUGGGCCCGGUUAAUCAUCCAGCGUUCUCGCUGGUGCACUUGGCCGGCCCAGGCCAGCAUCAGUUCGCGUCGGGGGAUAAAGGUUUCGGGAAUGUGGCUCCUCCGGGAGUGUUAUAGCCCGUUGCGUAAUACCCUGGUGCGGACUGAGGUACGCGUUCUGCAAGGAUGCUGGCGUAAUGGUCAUCAGUGACCCGUCUUGAAACACGGACCAAGGAGUCGUCUUCGUAUGCGAGUGUUCGGGUGUCAAACCCCUACGCGUAAUGAAAGUGAACGUAGGAGAGAGCUUCGGCGCAUCUCCGACCGAACCUGAUGUUCU
rnacentral:rRNA from 1 species